rnacentral:rRNA from 1 species
CGUCAAGACAAAAGGUUAUUAACCUUCUGCCAUUUCCUCCCUACUGAAAGUGCUUUACAACCCGCAGGCCUUCUUCACACACGCGGCAUUGCUGCAUCAGGCUUGCGCCCAUUGUGCAAUAUUCCCC